AAUUAUUGAUAGUAAAAGGUAAAAUUAGAAUACUAUUAUAUAAAUUAAUUUUAAAUUUCAGUCGAAGCUAGAAAACGUUAGUUAAAAACUAGGAUUAGAUACCCUAUUAUUCUAAAAUGAUAGUUAUAAUACUUAAUUAGUAAUAGUUAGUUACUUAAAAAUUAAAAAAUUUGGCGGUAAUUUAAUCUAUCCAGAGGAACUUGUUUCUUAAUCGAUAAACCACGCAAAAUCUUACUUAUUUUUGUAAUUAAUCAGUUUGUAUACCAUCAUUAGCAGGUAAUUCUUUAGAAGAUAAAUUACUAGUUAAUAAUUGUUUAAAAAAAUUAGAUCAUGGUGCAGCAUAUAAAUAAGUUGAAAUGAGUUACAAUAAAUUAUUUUAAACGGAUUAAUAAAGUUAGAUUUAUUAUGAAGGAGGAUUUGGUUGUAAUUUGGGUUUAAUAAGCUCAAAUGAUAUUAGUUCUAAAUUAUGUACAUAUCGCCCGUCGCUUUCGU
rnacentral:rRNA from 1 species